ensembl:lncRNA
CUCUCAACAACCUUUAAAAUAUCGGCUGUAAUUUAGUGACUGCAUACGCUGAUUCCAACUUUAACUUACCUGAUAAUGAGCUAAUUCACCUUAGGGAGGUUAAUCAGUAUACUGUAUAAUUCAAGAGACUAAGACUUUUAAGGUUCUCCAUUUUUUUUACAAUUGUUUUAAAAUUGAUAUACAGUUUUCAUUUAUAUUUUGUGUAAAUUCAUGUUUAAAUUUAAAAUUGUGACUCCAAGCACACUUAGUAAUUAACCUCUGAUGCAUUUUAAAUCAAAAAUCACAUUUAAAAACAAAUACUACUGAGAUUAAUAUAUUGAUGCUAUAUACAAACAUGACUACAAACUAAACCAACAGGGUCCUAGAACUGCGGUCCUGAAACUGCAGCCAUCGCUAUAUCAUCCAUUACGGUAGGUGGCGCUGUCACGAAAAACUAGGGUCCUAGAACUGCGGUCCUAGAUCUGUGGUCCUGAAACUGCAGCCUCCAGUUGUGCAGGAACAUACUAUUGUAAAAAAGAGACCACAGUUUCUUCAGUGCUUGUGCCCUUGCUGUCAUCUUUUCAUGGUACCCAUGUAGAUCCUCCGUCAGAUACAGUGUGAUCUGAAGCUACAGUAAAAGAUAUUUCCAUAUUCAAGUGUUUGGGAGCAGAGUGUUUCAAUGCAUUUUUGUAAAAUGAAUUUAAAAAUGAAGAAUAUCUGCUGGAAGUUGUUGGGAAACAGCAACUCUGGUACUCACUGAAAAUGGGAAGUGAAACAACUAGUGUGCCACUGGUAACAAUGAAGCCUGCAGAUGAAAACCCACCAGCACCUGCUCGGACUACACCCCUAACUCACCAGACCAUUGAGAGAAUUAUGGAGCGGCUGCAGCAAGCAAAGACUUGUUGUGCUUGUGGACAGCCAAAGUCUCACUUUGAGUGCCAUUGUUCCUCACCAGCAAGGCCCUGUCAGAUACUUCCACUGUUCCACAAAGGUUUUUAAUGCUUCCAGUGAAGAAGGGCUAACAAAGAAUGCCACAUGUUCAUUGCCCCGCUAAAGUCUUUUCUGGUUACCAACCUCAGGGCAUGCAGAAAAAAGAUGACCUGGAAAGAGUUUGCAUUUUACAAGAAAAAA